rnacentral:rRNA from 1 species
AGAGAGAGACAUGCGCGCAUAUCAAUAAGCGGAGGAAAAGAAACUAACAAGGAUUCCCUUAGUAACGGCGAGUGAAGCGGGAAGAGCUCAAAUUUGAAAUCUUCAAGGUUUUACCUUGACGAAUUGUAGUUUAAAGAAGUGUUUUCUGUUGAAGUUUUGGUAAAAGUUCUUUGGAAUAGGACAUCAUAGAGGGUGAGAAUCCCGUAUUUGACCAUUAUUUUCAGCUUUGUGAUACACUUUCAAAGAGUCGGAUUGUUUGGGAAUGCAGUCCAAAAUGGGUGGUAAAUUUCAUCUAAAGCUAAAUAUUGGCGAGAGACCGAUAGCGAACAAGUACCGUGAGGGAAAGAUGAAAAGAACUUUGAAAAGAGAGUUAAACAGUACGUGAAAUUGUCAAAAGGGAAGCGUUUGACACCAGUGUUGUUUUCUCGAAAAUCAAUUAAAAAUGGCUCGAUUUUAGUAUUGCUGAGACCUUAAAAGCUCACUGUACAUUUUUCGUGUCUUUUUUAAUGCACUUUUCGUUUAACAAGUCAACAUCAGUUUCUUUUGUUGUAAAAGGGUCAUUGGAAGGUGGCUUUCUUUUCGGAGAAAGUGUUUAUAGCCUUUGGCCUCUGCAAUCGGAAGAGACUGAGGUCUGCAGCGUAGACUCUUCGGGGUUAGAUACAUUUGUGCUAAGUUAUAGCUUUUUAUAGACAACUUGUUGACUAUAAUUAGUCUUGUAGCUUACUCGCUUAUGCUAUUUUACCUACGCUUAGGAUGUUGAAGUCAUCGUAUCGCGC